UUGUGAUGAAAACAAAACUGAGAGUAGCUGGAAUUACCGGCAGAUUGUUCAGUGGUGAUACUCGGUUUUCUGAAG
ensembl:snoRNA